GACAGAGGAUGGCAAGCGUUAUCCGGAAUGAUUGGGCGUAAAGCGUCUGUAGGUGGCUUUUAAGUCCGCCGUCAAAUCCAGGGCUCAACCCUGGACAGGCGGUGGAAACUACCAAGCUGGAGUACGGUAGGGGCAGAGGGAAUUUCCGGUGGAGCGGUGAAAUGCGUAGAGAUCGGAAAGAACACCAACGGUGAAAGCACUCUGCUGGGCCGAACACUGACACUGAGAGACGAAAGCUAGGGGAGCGAAUGGG
rnacentral:rRNA from 1 species